rnacentral:rRNA from 1 species
AGAUUGAACGCUGGCGGCAUGCCUAACACAUGCAAGUCGAACGGCAGCGCGGGUAGCAAUACCUGGCGGCGAGUGGCGGACGGGUGAGGAAUACAUCGGAAUCUACCCAGUUGUGGGGGAUAACGCAUCGAAAGGUGCGCUAAUACCGCAUACGACGGAGACGUGAAAGCGGAGGACCGAAAGGCUUCGCGCGAUUGGAUGAGCCGAUGUCGGAUUAGCUAGUUGGCGGGGUAAAAGCCCACCAAGGCGACGAUCCGUAGCUGGUCUGAGAGGAUGAUCAGCCACACUGGGACUGAGACACGGCCCAGACUCCUACGGGAGGCAGCAGUGGGAAUAUUGGACAAGUGGGCGCAAGCCUGAUCCAGCAAUGCCGCGUGUGUGAAGAAGGCCUUACGGUUGUAAAGCUACUUUUAGUCGGAGACGAAAAGCUAACUAGGUUAAUACCCGAGUACGUCAGUCGACCGGUACCCGAUAGAAUAAGCACCGGCUAACUUCGUAGCCAA